AUACGGAGGGGGCUAGCGUUGUUCGGAAUUACUGGGCGUAAAGCGUACGUAGGCGGACUGAUCAGUUGGGGGUGAAAUCCCGGGGCUCAACCCCGGAACUGCCUCCAAAACUUCCAAUCUAGAGAUCGAGAGAGGUGAGUGGGAUUCCAAGUGUAGAGGUGAAAUUCGUAGAUAUUUGGAGGAACACCAGUGGCGAAGGCGGCUCACUGGCUCGAUACUGACGCUGGGGUACGAAAGCGUGGGGAGCAAACAGGAUUAGAAACCCUUGUAGUCC
rnacentral:rRNA from 1 species